AACGAACGCUGGCGGUAUGCUUAACACAUGCAAGUCGAACGAACAAAAUUUGGGCGUGCUCCAAUUUUAGUAAGUGGCAAACGGGUGAGUAACACGUUGGAAUCUACCUAUCAGUACGGAAUAACAUGUGGAAACAGAUGCUAAUACCGUAUAUUCUCCAAGGAGGAAAGAUGUAUCGCUGAUAGAUGAGCGCGCGUAAGAUUAGGUAGUUGGUAGGGUAAUGGUCUACGAAGCCGACGAUAUUUAGCUGGUCAGAGAGGAUGAUCAGCCAGACCGGGACUGCGACACGGCGCAGACGCGUACGGGAGGGAGCAGUGGGGAAUAUUGGACAAUGGGCGAAAGGCGGAGCGAGCAAUACCGCGUGAAUGGUAAAGGCCUUAGGGUUGUAAAGUUCUUUUAGUGGGAAAGAUAAUGACGGUACCAACAGAAAAAGCCCCGGCUAACUCCGUGCCAGCAGCCGCCGUAA
rnacentral:rRNA from 1 species